UACGGAGGGGGCGAGCGUUAUUCGGAAUUAUUGGGCGUAAAGGGCGCGUAGGCGGCUCGAUAAGUCAAAGGUGAAAUCCCUCGGCUCAACUGAGGAACUGCCUUUGAAACUGUAGAGCUUGAGUCCGGGAGGGGGUAGCGGAAUUCCCAGUGUAGCGGUGAAAUGCGUAGAUAUUGGGAGGAACACCAGUGGCGAAGGCGACUACCUGGCCUGUUCUUGACGCUGAGGCGCGAAAGCUAGGGUAGCAAACGGG
rnacentral:rRNA from 1 species